UAUAGUUUGGUCUGAUCAUGCCCCAGUAAUGCUGACCUUAACAGAUCAAUUUCAAUCCCGCAUAUCAUCGCUGUGGCGCAUGAACGAAGCUCUUCUACACAACCCUAAUUUUACCAGUAAACUUACUGAAGAAAUCACAUCGUUCUUCGCUAUAAACGACACACCUGAGGUCUCUUUAGCCACAACGUGGCUGACGCAUAAGGCAUUCAUCCGC